rnacentral:rRNA from 1 species
ACCGAGCAACGCCGCGUGAGUGAAGAAGGUUUUCGGAUCGUAAAGCUCUGUUGUAAGUCAAGAACGGGUGUGAGAGUGGAAAGUUCACACUGUGACGGUAGCUUACCAGAAAGGGACGGCUAACUACGUGCCAGCAGCCGCGGU